GGGAGGUGUUUUCUGCACGUGCUGAGAGAUUGAAAGCUGCUUUUUGAACGCUGCAUGCAGAACCUGCGAUGAGACCUCUAGCCUGUUGGCGAUGUCUGCUGCAGCACGGAGCAUGUCUUCAAAGGCCAAGGACUCUUCUCGGAUUCUGCUCCAGAUAAUGAACAAUCCAGGCUCAUCUCCAGCUACAUGUGACGUGUGGUUGAUGGUUGUUAGUUCAGAGACGUCGAAGCCCGAACCCCACUCUCCACUUUGGCAGAGCAUGGGGGUUGCCAUAGAAACCCAGGCCAGGAUGAAGGGCA